GUUGAGGUUAAAAUAGAGGAAGACAGCGAAUGAGGGCCAUUUAGGCCUGUCUGUGUGAUUUAAUUGGAGUUGAUAGCUGAAGUAGAUAAGACAGGGCUGCAUAUCUAUGAACUAUGGCUUUCUGUGUCUUUAGAAGAGCAAAAGGAAACCAGAUUAUGAAAGAUGUAGUGCUCCGAUGAACCUUCUGCAGAGUCUGUCGACAAUAUGCAAAGUGGUUCUGAACAUUGAGUAGAGAAAAAGAUUCCGAAAGAUGUGUUCUACCAACAACCUUCUGCUGAUUUUGUCGACAACAUGCAAAGUGGUACUGAAAACUGAGAGAAAAAUUAAACCAGAUUCUGAAAGAUCUGUCGACAAUAAGCAAAGUUGUACUGAAAAUUGCGGAGAGAAAAAGGAAACCAGAUUCUGAAAGUCUGUCGACAAUGUGGAAGGUGGUUCUGAACAUCGAUUGAGGAGGACCGGUGCCCAAUGCAGACAUGAACUUGUUU